rnacentral:rRNA from 1 species
CCUACGGGUGGCAGCAGUGGGGAAUAUUGGACAAUGGGGGCAACCCUGAUCCAGCCAUGCCGCGUGUGUGAAGAAGGCCCUCGGGUUGUAAAGCACUUUCAGUGAGGAAGAACGCCUGGUGGUUAAUACCCAUCAGGAAAGACAUCACUCACAGAAGAAGCACCGGCUAACUCCGUGCCAGCAGCCGCGGUAAUACGGAGGGUGCGAGCGUUAAUCGGAAUUACUGGGCGUAAAGCGCGCGUAGGUGGCUUGAUAAGCCGGUUGUGAAAGCCCCGGGCUCAACCUGGGAACGGCAUCCGGAACUGUCAAGCUAGAGUGCAGGAGAGGAAGGUAGAAUUCCCGGUGUAGCGGUGAAAUGCGUAGAGAUCGGGAGGAAUACCAGUGGCGAAGGCGGCCUUCUGGACUGACACUGACACUGAGGUGCGAAAGCGUGGGGAGCAAACAGGAUUAGAUACCCCAGUAGUC